AGACGAACCGGCCAAACGUUAUUCGGAAUUAUUGGGCUUAAAGGGUGCGUAGGCGGCGCGGUCAGUCGGGUGUGAAAUCCCUCGGCUCAACCGAGGAACUGCGCCCGAUACUACCGUGCUUGAGGGAGACAGAGGCGAGCGGAACUGAUGGUGGAGCGGUGAAAUGCGUUGAUAUCAUCAGGAACACCGGUGGCGUAAGCGGCUCACUGGGCCUCUUCUGACGCUGAGGCACGAAAGCUAGGGGAGCGAACAGGAUUAGAUACCCCGGUAGUCC
rnacentral:rRNA from 1 species